AGGCAACCUCCCCUGCUUGCUGAACCUGGUUUUAGAGGAGGGGCUGGGGACUGGGUGACCAUCUUUUGACAGAGCCCUGUUUGGGAGUUUGCCGAGGUUCCACACGAAACAGACACAGCUGGCGUAUCAACCAAAGCUGACAGAAAGCACCUCUGUGCACUGCCUCUACCUGAGACACUGGAGAGAGGCUUGGAUCCAGAAGCCCGCCCAGAUUGUGUACUUGUUCCUUUUGCGGGAGUGUAACCCCAUCCAGGACAGGAAGAUUGAAGCUGUUUCCUGAGUUCCAACCCCACAAAAAGAUCUCUGCAUAUCACUCUACAAACACUUAAAGUGCAGCAGAAGAGCAAUGGGAUUAAAAUCAGAGUGAAGAGAAAAGAACUAAACUUUCUUGAAUAAUGAUGAAUGCAACGGUGGGAAAGCAUAGUACACCAACAAACAAGCAAAAAUCCAGAGGUUGGCCCUCAGCUGAAGACAAAGAAAUGAGCCCAGCACAAGCUGUUUAUACCAGGACUUUGACAAGAAUAAGAAGACAAGCGGCUGAAGUAUCAGCAGGGGGUUUAUCCUGACAACACGCUUUGCAAGCAGAUGUGCAAACACUUUUCAUUACUUGUAUACGGUAUGGUGCUUGGAUUUGAUAUUUUAUUUAUGUUGUUCAGACCUCUAUCUCGAUUGGAUUUGCUCUGUUCAUUAGCUGGGCUUGCAGUAAGCUGAAUGCAGGCUCACACCUUGAAAAUAUAGACGAUCUAGUACAGUACUAACUAGAAAUGUCGGUAGAAAGGGUCAUGCUCUAUGCCAGUACAACUGCAACAUUUUGCAAAACAUAAUGAAGAAGAUGAAUAUCCACAGCUUUGAAUGUAACAUAUGGAAAGGCAACAUACAAAUAAGAUGCCGUAUUUGAAUAUCUUUGUGCUCAUUUUGUGCACUGCUUCCAUCUUCCAAAUGUAAAUUGCACUAGAGCAGUUGCAGAAAUGCUGAAAUUGUGCAACGGAUUCGCUCAAUUGCCCUGCCAUUUUUUCCAAUGGCCCUGAAAUCGCACAACUCCCUUGCAAGUGUGCUCUUUCACAAAUGCUGAAAUCUUGCAAGGGCUCUUGCACAACUUGCAUUUGGAAGAUCUCACAGCAGUAACAUCCGUAAUAUGCAAAACACCCAUGGAACACUGUGAGAUAUGGUGGCCUCUAAUUUGUACUAAUUACUGAAUAAUUUAGUCAGGAUGUCAGCCAAUAUUAAUUGACUUUAUAAGCUGUUGUGAGAUUUUAAGAGUAACCCUCUAAACCAGUGUACAACCUUUAAAAUAUAUAUCAUGAGAAAGACAAUUAUGUGGUAAUCUGUUCACCUUGUUUUUGAUCCAAAAAAGCUGCCCAGUCAUUAGUUGACUGUGCUUAUUUUUAAAAUUUAUUUCCCUCAGUGUGCUUAAAACAGCUAAUAAAAAGGAAUUACAUUAUUUAUUUAAUUAAUAUGUUUAAUAAUUAACUAAUUAAUUAAUUGUGAAGUGCAUGAGCACUUCAGACAUUUUAACCACUUAACUUCCCCACUGUGGUAAAAAUCUUUGGAAAAUAAACAUUCUGAGUUGGGUGGUGGUGGUGGUGGUUAAUCAAUUUAACAAACUGCAGGCAUGCUUCCAGUGGCACAACACUAGUUUGGAAUCGAAGCUCCAAACUUAGUGCUAAUAGCAAGCUCAACAGCUUUGCACCAGCAUAAAGUCCUUUUGCAAGUGGUGUUGCACUAGAUGUCAGUAGCAGAGUUUUACUAAACAUUAUUUGCUCUUGAAUUAUAGGAUUUGGAAUUGCAAAAACUCAUAGACUUUUAAAUCCAGUCCCUUGAUUCAAGCCAAACUACUGACAUUAAAGCAUCCUACAUAUCAAAUCAUGUCACUCCCAAACACAGUUUCCCAUAAGGACAAUGGAAGAACACAGUUAAGGAUAAACAACUACCUGUAGAGCCAAUACUGCUAAAUAAUUCAAGCAAGUGGACAAAUUACAUAUUACACUGGAAAUCACAUUCACAGCACUGAUGACCUGAUAGGAGGAAGGUAUCCUAGAAGAUAAAUAACAUGAUCUGGCAGAUAGAAAGCACCAUCAAAACCCAUUCACCAAUAUCCUGGAAAAGAUAUUUGGGGGGCAUAAGGCCAUGUCAUUCAACUUUUUUUCAAAAUUUAUUUUCCUGUCUCCUCUCAAUUUGCAGAGAAUAAUGACAAGAGCAGAAUAAUUUCCUAGUCGUCAUCAUCAUCAUCGUGUGUUUACUUGGUCCUCACACCUUUUAAAAAAAGAAAAAUACAGAAAAAUUACAAAAAGAGACUAAAAUUAUAUAGUCAAUUUUCCAGAUAAUA